rnacentral:rRNA from 1 species
UCUGAAUCUGCGAACGGCUCCGCAAACCAGUUGUAAACUAUAGCAAGCAAGCCCGGGGUCGGCCUUCACGGGCUGGUUCCGGGUGAUAUGGAUAACCCUGGUAAUUCUGAGGCUAAUACAUGACCGUAAAACCUAGCUGACCGGCUUCGGCUGGGAUGCUGGGGGACGUGUGAUUUGGGCUUGGUAACACCGGGAAGGGGCGCACGUCUAGACCACGCUAUAAAGGUCGGUUUCCUCCUCGGAGGGGGCCGUCCCAGUGGCUCUUGCUGUGUGCUUCUGACCUAUCAACUAGACGGCAGCGUAAGGGACAUGCUAUGGU